UAUAUAUAUUACAUUGAUGACAGGAAAUGAGCAUGUCUACAAACAGCAAUAAAACCACGAGUGUUUUUAUGCAUGCGUGCGUGUGUGUGUGUGUGUGUGUGUUUAAUGGAUCAUUCAAGCUUAAGGCACCACUAAAACAGGAUCAUGUCAUGUGUGAGGGACGAGAAUGGAAGCUGCUAGCGUGUAGAGGAGAAACUAUAAAUAUUAGAUUCAACAGAAGGUCACUCCAAUACACGCCGAGUAUAGCGGGACCAGUCAGCGCUCACUAAUCAGGUGAUAUUUAUGCUCGUCUGACAUGACUUGCUGUUCCGUGCGUCCGUGGACUGGCAGCGUUAAGAAUGAGUUCAUAUCAGUUUGCAAGGAACAAAAACAAACUGACAAAAAAUUUAUAUAGAUGAUAGAUAUUUCCAUAUGGUAUAUUUACGCACAGGAACAGCAAGUAAAUAAGCAUUAUAUAAUUUGAAGCUUUAAUUCAGUUUUAUUAAGGUCAUGUGGGAGUUUAUGCAAAGCAUUCAACACCAAAUUACCAUAUGGUGCAUAUCUUCAAUUAGUAUAUUUACGCAUAGAAGUAAAGAAGCAGUAUAAAAUGUGAAGAUUUAAUUAGACUUUAUUUCAUCCAUGUUCAAGGCAAAGUAAUAAACUGUAAGUUACCAUGUAUAAGCAGAAAGGUAAAGACGCAAGGCAUAUACACGUUAAUAAAGUUGGAAGGAGAUAAUGGUGUAGUACAUCCUGCCCUGCCCUUGUAUCCAACACUGUGGGCAGGAAAGUAAGAUUGAUCCAAUGUAUACAAAGCGAAACAAACGUGGCCACUAUGUCUUAGGGCCAAACAAUUAUGCCAAAGAGCACAUAGGAUACACAGUA